rnacentral:rRNA from 1 species
GUAAGGGAUAUUGCGACAAUGGGCGAAAGCCUGACGCAGCAACGCCGCGUGAGGGAUGACGGCCUUCGGGUUGUAAACCUCUUUUCUGUGGGAAGAGACAGGACGGUACCACAGGAAGAAGUCACGGCUAACUACGUGCCAGCAGCCGCGGUAAAACGUAGGUGGCAAGCGUUAUCCGGAUUUACUGGGUGUAAAGCGUGUGCAGGCGGUCGUGUAAGUAGCGCGUGAAAGCGCCCGGCUUAACCGGGCGAGGACGUGCUGUACUGCAGGACUGGAGGCUGGUAGAGGCGAGUGGAAUUCCGGGUGUAGUGGUGAAAUGCGUAGAGAUCCGGAGGAACACCAGAGGCGAAGGCGACUCGCUGGGCCAGCACUGACGCUCAGACACGACAGCAUGGGGAGCGAACGGGAUUAGAUACCCUAGUAGUCC